AGAGUUUGAUCCUGGCUCAGGACGAACGCUGGCGGCGUGCUUAACACAUGCAAGUCGAACGGUAAGGCCCUUCGGGGUACACGAGUGGCGAACGGGUGAGUAACACGUGGGUAAUCUGCCCUGCACAUCGGGAUAAGCCUGGGAAACUGGGUCUAAUACCGAAUAGGACCACAGGACACAUGUCCUGUGGUGGAAAGCUUUUGCGGUGUGGGAUGGGCCCGCGGCCUAUCAGCUUGUUGGUGGGGUGAUGGCCUACCAAGGCGACGACGGGUAGCCGGCCUGAGAGGGUGUCCGGCCACACUGGGACUGAGAUACGGCCCAGACUCCUACGGGAGGCAGCAGUGGGGAAUAUUGCACAAUGGGCGAAAGCCUGAUGCAGCGACGCCGCGUGGGGGAUGACGGCCUUCGGGUUGUAAACCUCUUUCACCAUCGACGAAGGUCCGGGUUUUCUCGGGCUGACGGUAGGUGGAGAAGAAGCACCGGCCAACUACGUGCCAGCAGCCGCGGUAAUACGUAGGGUGCGAGCGUUGUCCGGAAUUACUAGGCGUAAAGAGCUCGUAGGUGGUUUGUCGCGUUGUUCGUGAAAUCUCACGGCUUAACUGUGAGCGUGCGGGCGAUACGGGCAGACUUGAGUACUGCAGGGGAGACUGGAAUUCCUGGUGUAGCGGUGGAAUGCGCAGAUAUCAGGAGGAACACCGGUGGCGAAGGCGGGUCUCUGGGCAGUAACUGACGCUGAGGAGCGAAAGCGUGGGGAGCGAACAGGAUUAGAUACCCUGGUAGUCC
rnacentral:rRNA from 1 species